rnacentral:rRNA from 1 species
UCAAUCUCGUGCGGCUAGGAGCCGCCUGUCCCUCUAAGAAGAUUCAUGUGUACGCCGGCAGUAAAAACCGCGAACACCCGACCGGACGAACGAGGCGCGAGCCUUCGAGAUGCCGGAAAGUAACGCCUAGUUAGCAGGCUAGAGUCUCGUUCGUUAU